CCUACGGGUGACUGCAGUGGGGAAUAUUGCACAAUGGGGGAAACCCUGAUGCAGCGACGCCGCGUGAGUGAAGAAGAGUUUCGGCGCGUAAAGCUCUGUCAGCGGGGAAGAAACACGGGUCGCGAGAGCCGCGGACGGUACACGACCAAGAAGCCGCGGCUAACUACGUGCCAGCAGCCGCGGUAAUACGUAGGGGGCAAGCGUUAUCCGGAGUCACUGGGUGGAAAGGGAGCGUAGACGGCGAGACAAGUCUGUAGUGAAAGGCCGGGGCCCAACCCCGGGACUGCUCUGGAAACUGCCGGGCUGGAGUACAGUUGAGGUAAGUGGAAUUCCUCGUGUAGCGGUGACAUUC
rnacentral:rRNA from 1 species